GGGGAUUUAGCUCAGUGGUGCAGCGCCUGCCUGGCAAGCAUGAGGCCCUGGAUUCGAUUUCCAGUACCA
rnacentral:tRNA from 1 species